rnacentral:lncRNA from 10 species
UGGGAAGCAGAGAUAAUGUCCUCAGACCUCUAAACCACCAGCACCAGCUCUGUGCCUGUUAUAUGGCAGGCUUUCGAUGAACGCUUGCUGAACUGGAUCUGGGGGUUUGAUCGAGAGAAGAGCUUAAAGAUGCUCUCCCCUCCCCGUUGACAUUAUUUGCCUGACAUUCUUUGCCCACACAGUGUGGCCUUAUGACAACACUUGGCAGGAGAGUGAUGGCUUGGGAUGAAGGAGGAGUAAGCUGUCUUGUCCGGUGUUGUCUCUGCCCAUUCCACAUGGUUCUCCGAGCAGUGACAAAGCGUUAGCAUUCAUGAGUAUUUUCUGUCUUGCCUGGUAUCACUGUUAGAACCCUUCACCUGACAGCUUCACCAUGGUUAUGUCAGUUUUGAUGGAUGCUGCCUACUUUAGCACAUUCUGGUCUGUAGGCAUAUACCUGCCAUGCAGUGUUCUGGGAAUGUGAUGAAAUUCCCCCUUUGUCUGAAGCUCUGGUUGAUUUGAAAUCCACAAGGGAAGGUAAUUAAAUUGAAUAGAAGCUGCAGCUUGCAAAACCUAUGGUAUUAUCCCACUCUUAGCUCAUUAAAACUGCUGCUCUGCAAAUUGAUUUGAACCUUUGUUUCAGGAAAUUGUGCUGCAAUUCCCUGAGAACAAAGUGGUGCUGGCGAGGUGAUCUGGAGGAGCCAGUGAAGGACUCUGAAGUUCUUAAAAAAUCACACUUAAGUCUGGAUCUUGAUGAACUAGUUGCUGGUCCUGCCUCUGCUGCCUUCUUUGCCUCACGGAAGAUGAUGGAUGUAAAAACGCUGAGAAAGCCUGGGCAACAUGGCGAAACCCUGUCUCUAAAAAAAAAUUGCAGAAAUUAGCCGGGUGUGGUGGCACGUGCCUGUGGUCCCAGCCACUCGGGAGGCUGAGACAGGAGGAUCGCUUGAGCCCAGGAGGUCAAGGCUGCAGUGAGCUGAAGUCGCACCACUGCACUCCAGCCUGGGCAGCAAGUAAGACUCUGUCUCAAUAAUAAUAAUAAUAAAAUUAAUAAAAAAACAAAAAACGCUGAGAA